GACAGAGGGGGCAAGCGUUGCUCGGAAUCACUGGGCGUAAAGGGCGCGUAGGCGGGUCCGCAAGUCGAUCGUGAAAUCCUUCGGCUCAACUGAAGGGGGUCGGUCGAUACUGCGGGUCUUGAGGGAUGCAGAGGAGACUGGAAUUCCAGGUGUAGCGGUGAAAUGCGUAGAUAUCUGGAGGAACACCGGUGGCGAAGGCGGCAUCCUGGACCGGGAUUGACGCUGAGGCGCGAAAGCUAGGGGAGCAAACGGG
rnacentral:rRNA from 1 species